rnacentral:rRNA from 1 species
UGGUCAGUAGGUUGGUCGUGCCACCGGUACGUACUGGUCUCACUGAUUCCUCCUUCCUGAAGAACCGUAAUGCCAUUAAUUUGGUGUUGCGGGGAAACAGGACUGUUACUUUGAAAAAAUUAGAGUGUUUAAAGUAAGCUAACGCUUGAAUACAUUAGCAUGGAAUAAUGAAAUAGGACGAUCGAUCCUAUUUUGUUGGUUUCUAGGAUUGACGUA